UAGCUUGCUACCUGACCUAGCGGCGGACGGGUGAGUAAUGCUUAGGAAUCUGCCUAUUAGUGGGGGACAACAUUCCGAAAGGAAUGCUAAUACCGCAUACGCCCUACGGGGGAAAGCAGGGGAUCUUCGGACCUUGCGCUAAUAGAUGAGCCUAAGUCAGAUUAGCUAGUUGGUGGGGUAAAGGCCUACCAAGGCGACGAUCUGUAGCGGGUCUGAGAGGAUGAUCCGCCACACUGGGACUGAGACACGGCCCAGACUCCUACGGGAGGCAGCAGUGGGGAAUAUUGGACAAUGGGCGAAAGCCUGAUCCAGCCAUGCCGCGUGUGUGAAGAAGGCCUUUUGGUUGUAAAGCACUUUAAGCGAGGAGGAGGCUACUGAGAUUAAUACUCUUGGAUAGUGGACGUUACUCGCAGAAUAAGCACCGACUAACUCUGUGCCAGCAGCCGCGGUAAUACAGAGGGUGCGAGCGUUAAUCGGAUUUACUGGGCGUAAAGCGUGCGUAGGCGGCUUUUUAAGUCGGAUGUGAAAUCCCUGAGCUUAACUUAGGAAUUGCAUUCGAUACUGGGAAGCUAGAGUAUGGGAGAGGAUGGUAGAAUUCUAGGUGUAGCGGUGAAAUGCGUAGAGAUCUGGAGGAAUACCGAUGGCGAAGGCAGCCAUCUGGCCUAAUACUGACGCUGAGGUACGAAAGCAUGGGGAGCAAACAGGAUUAGAUACCCUGGUAGUCCAUGCCGUAAACGAUGUCUACUAGCCGUUGGGGCCUUUGAGGCUUUAGUGGCGCAGCUAACGCGAUAAGUAGACCGCCUGGGGAGUACGGUCGCAAGACUAAAACUCAAAUGAAUUGACGGGGGCCCGCACAAGCGGUGGAGCAUGUGGUUUAAUUCGAUGCAACGCGAAGAACCUUACCUGGUCUUGACAUAGUAAGAACUUUCCAGAGAUGGAUUGGUGCCUUCGGGAACUUACAUACAGGUGCUGCAUGGCUGUCGUCAGCUCGUGUCGUGAGAUGUUGGGUUAAGUCCCGCAACGAGCGCAACCCUUUUCCUUAUUUGCCAGCGGGUUAAGCCGGGAACUUUAAGGAUACUGCCAGUGACAAACUGGAGGAAGGCGGGGACGACGUCAAGUCAUCAUGGCCCUUACGACCAGGGCUACACACGUGCUACAAUGGUCGGUACAAAGGGUUGCUACCUAGCGAUAGGAUGCUAAUCUCAAAAAGCCGAUCGUAGUCCGGAUUGGAGUCUGCAACUCGACUCCAUGAAGUCG
rnacentral:rRNA from 1 species